GCUGGAGUGCCACGUCGAGAGGCGUCGGUGGAGGGGGGCGCUGGCCCCCGCCCCAGGCCAACCGCCUUGGUUUGCCCACCAGGAUUGUUUCAAGAAAAUGGCAGACAAGCCGGACACGGGGGAAAUUGCCAGCUUCGAUAAGGCCAAGCUGAAGAAAACGGAGACACAGGAGAAGAAUACCCUGCCGACCAAAGAGACCAUUGAGCAGGAGAAGCGGAAUGAAAUUUCCUAAGAACCUGGAGGAUUCCCCAACCCCGUCAUUUUCAAGACCCUGGUCGUGAUGUGGAGGGAGAGCCACCUGCAAGAUGGACACGAGCGACAAGCUGCACUGUAAACCCGGGCCCACCGUGCCGAUGCCACCGGCCUGUGGGUCUCUAGGGACCCCCCAAUCGGACUGCCAAAUUCUCCGGUUUGCCCUGGGAUAUUAUAGAAAAUUAUUUGUAUGAUUAAUGAAAAUAAAACACACCUCGUGGCAAAAAAAAAAAAAAAAAAAA